rnacentral:rRNA from 1 species
UACAGAGGUCUCAAGCGUUGUUCGGAUUCAUUGGGCGUAAAGGGUGCGUAGGUGGCGGGGUAAGUCAGGUGUGAAAUCUCGGGGCUCAACCCCGAAACUGCACUUGAUACUGCCUUGCUCGAGUACUGGAGAGGAGAUUGGAAUUUACGGUGUAGCAGUGAAAUGCGUAGAUAUCGAGAGGAACACGUGCGGCGAAGGCGGGUUGCUGGGCUGACACUGACGCUGAAACGCGAAAGCUAGGGGAGCGAACGGG